CCUACGGGUGGCAGCAGUGGGGAAUAUUGCACAAUGGGGGCAACCCUGAUGCAGCGACGCCGCGUGAAGGAAGAAGGUUUUCGGAAUGUAAACUUCUAUCAGCAGGGAAGAAAAGGACGGUACCUGACUAAGAAGCCCCGGCUAACUACGUGCCAGCAGCCGCGGUAAUACGUAGGGGGCACGCGUUAUCAGGAAUUACUGGGGGUAAAGGGAGCGGAGGCGGUUUAGCAAGUCAGACGUGAAAGCCCGGGGCUCAACUCCGGGACUGCUUUUGAAACUGUUGAACUUGAUUGCAGGAGAGGUAAGUGGAAUUCCUAGUGUAGCGGUGAAAUGCGUAGAUAUUAGGAGGAACACCAGUGGCGAAGGCGGCUUACUGGACUGUAAAUGACGCUGAGGCUCGAAAGCGUGGGGAGCAAACAGGAUUAGAUACCCGUGUAGUC
rnacentral:rRNA from 1 species